UACGUAGGGGGCAAGCGUUAUCCGGAUUUACUGGGUGUAAAGGGAGCGUAGACGGCAUAGCAAGUCUGAUGUGAAAUGCUGGGGCUUAACCCCAGGACUGCAUUGGAAACUGUUAAGCUUGAGUGCCGGAGAGGUAAGCGGAAUUCCUAGUGUAGCGGUGAAAUGCGUAGAUAUUAGGAGGAACACCAGUGGCGAAGGCGGCUUACUGGACGAUAACUGACGUUGAGGCUCGAAAGCGUGGGGAGCAAACAGG
rnacentral:rRNA from 1 species